UACGAAGGGGGCUAGCGUUGUUCGGAAUCACUGGGCGUAAAGGGCGCGUAGGCGGCUUUAUAAGUCGGGGGUGAAAGCCUGUGGCUCAACCACAGAAUUGCCUUCGAUACUGUAGAGCUUGAGACCGGAAGAGGUAAGUGGAACUGCGAGUGUAGAGGUGAAAUUCGUAGAUAUUCGCAAGAACACCAGUGGCGAAGGCGGCUUACUGGUCCGGUUCUGGACGCUG
rnacentral:rRNA from 1 species